rnacentral:sRNA from 1 species
UUCCCUCUCAUCAAAUACAGUUUUAUAUGCACAUAUAGUUAUACAUAAAUAGCCUCUGGUGGAGACCUGUAGUGGAAGUAGAAAAGUUCGCUGGAAGAAAAAUCGUGAACCGACCUUGAGCGGGUCAAAUCCAAAAAUCCAGAUACCUGCCUGCUUUCUUCCAAGUUGUUGCUUCUCGAAACGAAGCCAUGAACGAAGAGCUACAGACCUUCACAGAAGUCAUGCAUCUUGUGAGUGCUUUGGCAUUGCCUAGGCCGAUGCAAGCCGCCAUGGAUCUUGGCAUUUCCGAUGUCCUUGCUCAAGCGGGUCGAGGCCUCUCAUCUCUAGCUAUUGCUUCCCGCUUGGGGAUACGCGAACCUAACUCGUUGAAAAUGCUGGACCGCCUCGUCACCCUCCUUGCUUGCCAUGACGUGUUUACUUGCUCUGAGGACUGCUAUAGUUUGACGCCUGCGGCUAACUACUUUGCUCGCAAUGAAGAUGGAGUUUUUUUGGCACCUUUGAUGCGCUUAAAUAAUGACAGGGUUUUCCUUGAAAGCUGGUCUGGAGUGAAGGAUGCAAUUCUUGAAGGGGGAAAUCCCUUUAACAGGGCUCAUGGGACGAACCACGUGUUUGAGUAUCUUGGCAAGGAUGGCAGGUUCAGUCAAGUUUACAACACAGCUAUGUUCAACCGCACAACCAUAGUUGUAAAGCAGAUCCUUGAGUCGUAUGAGGGCUUAAGAACAUCAAGACAUUGAUCGACGUUGGUGGUGGGAUCGGCGUGGCUCUUAACGUAAUCAUUUCCAAGUAUCCCUCUAUCAAGGGCGUCAAUUUUGACUUGCCCUAUGUUAUUCAAAAUGCCCCUCCUUUUCCUGACAGGAGUAACACCUAAUAUGUGUUGGAGAGAUGUUUGAAACAUUUUGCUGGAGAUAUGUUUGAAAGCAUCCCAAAAGGAGACGCCAUUUUUAUGAAGGGCAUACUUCGUGAUUGGGGUGAUGAUCAGUGGUUAAAGUUGUUGAAGAAUUGCUAUAAUGCUCUUCCAAAAAAUGGAAAGGUUAUGGUUGUGGAGCAACUUCUUCCCAUUUCUAGCGACCUUGCCUACUCAAUGCAAGAGAAACACUUAAAUGAUGUUCUCGCAUUGACUCUGACCCCAGGAGGAAAGGAGCGGAAUCAAUAUGGAAUUCUCUUACUUAGGAUUGAAAGCUGGAUUCCGUGAUGUUCUCUUUCCAUGUGUUUAUUGUCAGUAUGUGGUGAUCGAGUUCAUCAAGUAGCUUGGCACUAAGGUUUUGGUCAAUGAGUUGGGACUUCCUUAAGUAGAUGGUAUUACUAUAUCUGCUUUCGUUGAGGGAAUUUAUUCAAUGUAAGCCGACUUUUCUGCUAGUUCAGAUGCUUUAUUCACGAUCAUUAGACUGUUAAACUUCUAAGCAAUCUAUAUCCUAAAUAGCCUGUCAAUUUGAUGACACUUGUCAUUUGAGUUGGAUGCCGUGAUCUUAAAUAGAAUUUACACAAUUCAUACGUGUGGGUGAGACUUAGGAUUCUGGUGUCAAGUCCUUAUAUUAGUAUGCUUCUACUUUCGAGUUUCACGUCAUUUAAUUUCUUGAUCUGACUUCGAUGAAUUGUGCACCAAGUUGAUCUUCCCUGGAAGAAGUGACCCACUCUGCCCUAAUGAGGAAUGAGGACCAA